GACGAACGCUGGCGGCGUGCCUAAUACAUGCAAGUCGAACGAACUCUGGUAUUGAUUGGUGCUUGCAUCAUGAUUUACAUUUGAGUGAGUGGCGAACUGGUGAGUAACACGUGGGAAACCUGCCCAGAAGCGGGGGAUAACACCUGGAAACAGAUGCUAAUACCGCAUAACAACUUGGACCGCAUGGUCCGAGCUUGAAAGAUGGCUUCGGCUAUCACUUUUGGAUGGUCCCGCGGCGUAUUAGCUAGAUGGUGGGGUAACGGCUCACCAUGGCAAUGAUACGUAGCCGACCUGAGAGGGUAAUCGGCCACAUUGGGACUGAGACACGGCCCAAACUCCUACGGGAGGCAGCAGUAGGGAAUCUUCCACAAUGGACGAAAGUCUGAUGGAGCAACGCCGCGUGAGUGAAGAAGGGUUUCGGCUCGUAAAACUCUGUUGUUAAAGAAGAACAUAUCUGAGAGUAACUGUUCAGGUAUUGACGGUAUUUAACCAGAAAGCCACGGCUAACUACGUGCCAGCAGCCGCGGUAAUACGUAGGUGGCAAGCGUUGUCCGGAUUUAUUGGGCGUAAAGCGAGCGCAGGCGGUUUUUUAAGUCUGAUGUGAAAGCCUUCGGCUCAACCGAAGAAGUGCAUCGGAAACUGGGAAACUUGAGUGCAGAAGAGGACAGUGGAACUCCAUGUGUAGCGGUGAAAUGCGUAGAUAUAUGGAAGAACACCAGUGGCGAAGGCGGCUGUCUGGUCUGUAACUGACGCUGAGGCUCGAAAGUAUGGGUAGCAAACAGGAUUAGAUACCCUGGUAGUCCAUACCGUAAACGAUGAAUGCUAAGUGUUGGAGGGUUUCCGCCCUUCAGUGCUGCAGCUAACGCAUUAAGCAUUCCGCCUGGGGAGUACGGCCGCAAGGCUGAAACUCAAAGGAAUUGACGGGGGCCCGCACAAGCGGUGGAGCAUGUGGUUUAAUUCGAAGCUACGCGAAGAACCUUACCAGGUCUUGACAUACUAUGCAAAUCUAAGAGAUUAGACGUUCCCUUCGAGGACAUGGAUACAGGUGGUGCAUGGUUGUCGUCAGCUCGUGUCGUGAGAUGUUGGGUUAAGUCCCGCAACGAGCGCAACCCUUAUUAUCAGUUGCCAGCAUUAAGUUGGGCACUCUGGUGAGACUGCCGGUGACAAACCGGAGGAAGGUGGGGAUGACGUCAAAUCAUCAUGCCCCUUAUGACCUGGGCUACACACGUGCUACAAUGGAUGGUACAACGAGUUGCGAACUCGCGAGAGUAAGCUAAUCUCUUAAAGCCAUUCUCAGUUCGGAUUGUAGGCUGCAACUCGCCUACAUGAAGUCGGAAUCGCUAGUAAUCGCGGAUCAGCAUGCCGCGGUGAAUACGUUCCCGGGCCUUGUACACACCGCCCGUCACACCAUGAGAGUUUGUAACACCCAAAGUCGGCGGGGUAACCUUUUAGGAACCAGCCGCCUAAGGUGGGACAGAUGAUUAGGGUG
rnacentral:rRNA from 1 species